rnacentral:lncRNA from 1 species
AAAUAACAUGUGAGGCGAGAAACCUUAUAUCUUAUUUAUUUUUUUACAUUUCACAGUAAUAACAGAUUUUAAAGUAAUGACAGAACUCAGUAAACAUACCUGUUGUGUUGGUUUCCUGAUUGGAAUAUUUGACAGUUACCUAAAAUUUCUUCUGGUUAAAAUUUUACUCGCUAGAUGGCGAGAAGGAUAUUAGUUCUCUAGCUUUUGCUGGCGCGCCAGUGAGAUUCGUUUUUUAAUGUCAAGCGCGCCAUCACUUGUACUGUAACUAAUUUCAAUCUUUUCCCCAUUGCUAAAGUAUAAGUAAAUAAAGUAGUUGCCAUCAUUGCGUAUUUCAUUUCAGCAAUUGUUUAUUGUGUUUUACUUUUAACUUGUUUAAUAUGAUGCCUUUUGUUUUUCUCAAAUAUUGUUUGUUUGUCUGAUUUACUUUGUUCCACUAAGCAAUGCAUGUUUUCGCGUUGUGGUGCCUAAUACUAGUCGCCAGAUGUCUCUGCUAUCACAUACCCUUCUCGUUUAUCUCUGGUUGGGCAUUACAGUUUGUCUGCUACAUGAUCAAGGUCGAGUGGAUGUGGACGUCGUGGACGUUAAUGAAGAGUUUUGAAAGGAGAAAGUUUUUAAUUUAAAUUUUCUAUUAGACAAGAAAACAAAUCUUUCUUUUGAAAGUGCACAUCUUCGUGAAUUCUUUCAGUAUUUUUGUCAUGAAAGUAAUCAUGCAGCUUGUUUAACUGUGUUGCUGAUUUCUCCGGUUAACCACGGUAAAUGGCAAUUUUUUUUCCCCUUCUUGAAUGGUUAAACCAGUGAGAUAAUUGCCACUUAUUAACCGGUUAACCUAUGGUUACACGAACACCUCUGACCUCUGGUGGGUGUUUCGAUUUCACCGAUACGCAGAAGGCAGAACGGUUUGCACGCACGCUUUGUGGCAGUGACGAUGUGGGGAUGUGGCCGCUAUGGCAGACAUUUUGCAUAAAACUUCUACCUAAUUGCUGAAAUCCAGGGUGAAAUUUUGAUACCUUACAGGUGCUGAUAGCACUUUACACUUCUUGGUCAAUGAUAGUGAUUUGACUUAUCCUGUGGCCCGAUUGAAGCUUAAAAUGUAAAACACCUCUUUUAAUGAUCAGGUAAACUACAUUUUUAAUUCAUUAAAAAAUCUCAUAAGUUGGUUGAUACAGUGCUAUCAUGGAUCGGUACAAAUCCAUUCUUGAGAAAGAUUAGGUUACAACAAUGCUGUUGAAGACAAUUCUACCUUAGAAACUCUGAUGAACUCACUGUGUGCACAAGGUACUUUUUAGAUGAUUCAGUGUGAUGCUUUAAGAACAAUAUCAUCCAGCUGCUAUAGUGAUAUUGUCAGAUGUUGGUGAAAGAGUUAAAAACAGUCGGAGCCCCAUUUAUCAAAAUAGAGGAAUUAGUUCAUGGAAUACUGGGUGUCACUGUCAAUAGUUGGUGACUAUAUGCUGGGGUUGGCUUAAGUAGGUAUAACAUUUUUUAGUGGCCCAUCUAACCUGCAAUUUUUUUCUCUCCUCCAUAAAGGACCUCCUAUAACAACUUGAAUACGCUUACAAGUUAUAACAAAUUUACGACUCCUUAGUGUAUAGUCUGAAAGCAACUUUAAAAAAAGUGAAAAUGAUUUGGUAUUCGUCAACCCAAUGCAAAAAAGUCCAAAGCAGCGGUGUGCGAAGAAAGUAGUAUGGUGUGCGAAGUAAACAUUAAAAGUAAGAAAUGGAGGAUAGCUUGUGUCGUCAAUCAGCAUGACACGAAGUCAUAAAAUGGCAGGACAGGUGUCGGAAUAGCCGCACGAGACCAAAACAUGGAAGCAACAGCGUAGCAUUUGCUAUCAGUUUGAGUUUACAUGUCCAUCAGCUUACAGUUUUUGGUAACUAUCAGUCUACUUCACAAUUUGGUCUGUAUGUUUUAAUUUCAGUUGAUUGCAAGUUUGUGCCGAACUAAUUAUUUUUUCUACAAACAUGUUGAACUAGCCUCAAUAGCUAGCUAUUGAGUUAUUAGUAGCGUGUUCUUGGUUGUUGGCAGCGGCUGUUAUCUCUUGGAUGGCUGGAACGACCCCGAGUGUACCUAUGGGCUCCUUUUCUUCCAAGUACAAUAUUACAUUUGCGCCCUACUACACCAUGAUGUACAUUGUUCCCGCAUACUACUACACCAAUGCGCCACAGUAGUACUCAACGAAAAGCACAAGUAUAACGUGACCAAAUCGAUGGAGUAUUACACAACCACGUGUGUAGCUCCAAAAUACUACACCACAAGAAUAGCGUUUACAUUAUGCUGAAGCUCUUGAGUACUAUUUGGCCCAAAUUACUAUGUUUGCCUCUCAAAGCUACACUCGCCCAGGCAUCGAGUACUAUACAACUAAACCUGAGUAUUGCAUAACGACUUGUAUUACAUUGAAAUAUUAUAGUACGAAGCUUCAAAGUACUAUUCUGUUUCAAGAUGCUACACCGUCGCUGUCCCAUCUUACUAGGUCGUGCGUAACAUAAGCGACAGCUUAUGCCUCAUCAACUUGCUAAUCUAAAGCUCUGAAAUGCCAUUCAGUCACAAGAUACAAUAUUGAGGCAAUAUUUUUUUAAAUUAUUAUAGAUUAAUCCGAAGUCUUUAAAAUAAUUACAUAAUCAAAAAGUAAUGUUAAAUCAUUAAACAUGCUAUCGUGUAUGCCGCGCCUAGCUGAAUACUGAAGCUCCGAAAUACUACACAACAUAUUCUGCUGAAUACUAUACUACCCCUCCGCGGAGUGUGGAAUACUGCAUUACCAUCAGACAACUACAACUUGAGGGCACGAGCUUCUAUCAAAUUUAUUAAGAUGUGGUUAUUUGCACAAAUUUUGAUUCCCUACGGUUAGUUGCCAUUUGGCUUUAUGACUUACCCGCACGUCUAAAGCUCAAAUAAUUGUAGAUGUCUCUCUCACCACAAAAUAUUAAUUCGUUGUGGUGAACGGAAAAACUUACUGAUCACUUCAUUCUUCAAUUGCAUGAUAUCAUGUCCUUAUUUGAAUCUAAUAUCGCUCGUAUUUUUUUUUUUUUGUGUAUCUUUUUUUGUUUCUAUCUUGGAGUUCAUACAGUUGUUAUAGGUAACAGGUGCAUUUAAUGAGAAAGUUCUCGUGGCCGCCACAUCCUUGAGAAAUCUAUAGACGUUACGAACUGUUAAAGCAAUCCACGACAAUAGCAGAUGUUUCAUUUUGCCAGCCGUCGACCGAACAUGAUUUUCCCUUUCCCGCUAUGCCACUACAGAUAAGUUUUCAAUGUGAAGAAAAUCAACGCAAAGCUCCUAAGCGGUUAGCUUUUGCCAAAAAAUCACGUUAAUAAAAUUGAAUGCCGAAUCCGAGAAAGUUAUUCAUUUUCUCCGUUUUGGAAAAUAAUAACGAAUAGUUGUGCUAUACCACGCUAUCGCUGUAGCAUGCUGGAACACAACUUUGUUAACAUGUUUUUUACGUUUAAUUUGAAAAAUUCAAGUUCUAC